rnacentral:lncRNA from 1 species
UUUGGGAGACGUGAGACUGACCCUGCGGCCAGGGCACCAGGACUUACGGUGAUCCGGUUCCAGCGGAGAGAGAACAGCAAACUUGUGAUUCUUGAACGGUGGUUCUGGCUGGUACACAGAAACUUCCAAACCUCGCAGCUGGGAAGACCAGAGGCUGGAGUCUCUCAGGAUACAGUCAAAAGAAAGGUCUCCAAAACAAAGUGCCUGAAGCAAGGGAUGGCACUGGCCUUGGUGAGUGUGUGUUCAUGUGUUUUUCCUCUUUUUUUUUUUUUAAACUUCUUUGAGAGUUUUCAACAUGUUCUGAUCAUAUUCUGUUCCCACACAUACCUCUUCCCAGAUCCACCCUAACAAGCGUGCAUACUCUUUGGCUCCCCUGAAUCUGAAGGAGGAGCUUCAGGUAAUGAGAGAAUCACUAUUGUUCAUGGUAUCAGAGGUCUGGCCUUGGGGAGGGGAUCCUAACAGACUAAAUUUAGUGACUUGUCACUCAGUCCAAUGAGAGAGAUGUGUGGUAGUGAAACAAGAUAAGAACCAGUUACUUAGCAAAUCCAUAUUGGGAAGAAGCAGGAAGACAGUGUCCUUAGCCCUGUCUUCAGUGCCCUGACUCAGAGUUAAAUGGAGAAAGGACAAAUGCUGAGAGGAGAGAGAGCACAUAACAGUCCUUGUCGAUCUGUCUUGGACAAACUGACCAGUCAUUUCAUGCUGGGUCUGUAAGGUCCUAAUACCUCCAGAAAAGUUACUAUUGCCGAGGCAGCCAAUGCUGGUUAGUGGACACUAUCAUGGGUGAUCUGUCUGCAGAGUUCUUAGUGUCUUGAAAAUAACUUAUUCUUAUCUUGGUGACAUUAGCCUUAAAAGGGGACUAGAAGCUAUGUGUGGUAGUAUAGGACUUUAAUCUCAAAUUCCAGGCCAGUCAGUACCACAUAGUACUAAGAGCCUGUCUUAAAAGAUAAAAAAACA